rnacentral:rRNA from 1 species
AUGUAUGCCAAUUCUAACAUUCAUUCUUCUCACAUAUUUUUCAUAGACAAGUACUACCUUGUGGAUGCUGGCUAUCCUAAUAGAAAGGGAUAUCUCGCACCGUACAAAGGUGAAAGAUAUCAUGUGCCUGACUUUCAUAGAGGUGUUCCACCCAAUACUCCUAAAGAAAAGUUCAAUAGGCUCCACUCGUCCAAACGCAAUUGCAUAGAAAGAGCAUUUGGAGUGUGGAAGAUGAAAUGGCAGAUUCUUCUAAAGAUGCCAAACUACUCCAUCGAAACACAAAAUAUGAUUGUUGCCGCUACUAUGACUUUGCACAACUAUGUUCGCUUCCAUGAUGAAGAAGAUAUUCACUUUGUUCGAUGCGACAGGGACCCGAACUAUGUGCCAACAAUUCUGGAACGAUACAAGAAAUUUGUUGUUCCUUCACACACAUUGGAUACAUCAACUACAGCGGAAAAUGGUGAAGACAUGGAUGUGUUUAGGCAAGAACUAGCUACAGCCAUUGCUCUAAGUUGGUGA